rnacentral:lncRNA from 1 species
GGGAAAAAAUAGAAAAUAGCGGUAAAAUGAGUAGAAAAAUAAUAUUUAAUAGAAGCUCCCAGUGUGGUUUCCUAUGUCAUUAAGAAUUUCCUUGCUCUGAUGUGCAACGAAAACAAUAGAGAAAUGGUUAUGCCUACCAUUUAUUGCGGUUUAUUUUGUAGGGCUUGGUAGGCUUAACAAUGCCCGCCCAUUACCAACGUAUAAGCGGCUAUGGAAGGUGUGGUAUAAUGCAUUGGUUCGUUCGCUACCUGACAUUGGCUCUUGCGGCGCAGCGCUUUUGAUUAACGUCAAAAAUCAAUCAUUGUUAAUUUAUGAGCACUUCCGUUAGUGCACGACGAAGCUAUUCAACCGCAAAAUGCACUGUGCGUGAUGGCGGCUUCGCAUUGAGGCGUUGCCAACCCACAUAACUCUGGGACUGCACGUGUAUAUGUGACCAUUUGGCGUAAACGAUAAAUAGAAUGUAGCACGCAAUGUGCGAGUAACAGGUGCGUUACUAAUUCUCGUAGAAAAUCUAAACAAAUUUCUUAUUAAGAAUUAGUGCCAAAUGCAGCAAGGUCAAAUUGAUUAAGUAUUUAAUUCAAAGGUUCGCAUAAUUUGUAUGUAAAGAGAUGCCAGCAACACUAGUGCUAGAGGGGGUCGAUACGGCGGCAGAUUAGAGUCUCGACAAGAAGAGCACAGAGCGAUAUGCAUUAUUUGUUAACUGCAGGUGAAUUAACUAAGUGACUAACAGUCCGUACCACCAUACUGAUAUGAAAUUCUGCCCCAACGAAGCUCCAAAGUUGAGGAAAAAAGUUUUUCUAAAUACGAUAGCCGUUGGGCAGGGUAUGUAAACGUCUUGGAGUGUAUUACUGAUACAAAAAAAAGUUCAUCAUAAAAAUCCAUCAGCUGUUCAGAGCGGAGACUUUAAGCGAAACAUCCCGAGGAAAAUCCCAAAAAUGAAGAGAAAUACCUUAAAGCUAAUGAAUCUGAUAGUUGUAUUUUUGGAAUGCAUUAAUAAUCCCAAUACAGCCAACUGAAGUUAUGCUAGAGAACCACGAGAAUAACCCACAAAUUCUUCAGCACGAAUAGAACUCUGCAAUGAGUGUGUGACAAAGCAGGCUUACUAUGUGAUAUUUUAUCCAAUACAUCUAAAAAAAAGGACUCUGGAAGAGAAGAUCUAAUUUUUACAACAAAAACGGUUUCUCUUUUUUUCUUCAUCUCGAUGUUCUAGAAAGAUAUUCAUACCUGUCUUUUCUUGGAACGCGUUUUCGCUUGAAGGUAUUUUGUUGCUGCGCACGCGCUUUUUGUGCGAAUAAGAUGAUUGACUUUAGAAAUACAAUGGUCACCGCAAAACACUUUUUUUUUGGAGGUGUCCCUGGAGAUCUGCUGUAGCGGCUUUAGAAACUGUUAUUUUUAUAAAUAAAAAAAAUUGCUAACCUCUCUGCAAAGGUGCCAAAAUAUGUGCACUAAUGCUCAAAAUAAUAAAGCUAAAAGUUUUCUCGUAAAAAAUGUUUGAGAAAACUCAUUCUUUAGGGUUCCUUAUCAGAUGUAACUCCUUAAGUAAACUAUAAGUUCCUCCAUUUGAUUAAAAAACCUCAAGACUCGCACCAUAAAUUGGAGAAGUGGUUAAAAUCUUUUCAAUGGUUUCAGAUAUAUUAGGC